rnacentral:piRNA from 1 species
UACAACAUGAGAAUUAUAGCACAUACAC